GACGAACGCUGGCGGCGUGCUUAACACAUGCAAGUCGAACGAUGAAGCUGGAGCUUGCUCCGGUGGAUUAGUGGCGAACGGGUGAGUAACACGUGAGCAAUCUGCCCUUGACUCUGGGAUAACUGCGGGAAACUGUAGCUAAUACCGGAUAUGAGGCUCGAAGGCAUCUUCGGGUCUGGAAAGAAUUUCGGUCAAGGAUGAGCUCGCGGCCUAUCAGCUUGUUGGUGAGGUAAUGGCUCACCAAGGCGACGACGGGUAGCCGGCCUGAGAGGGUGACCGGCCACGCUGGGACUGAGACACGGCCCAGACUCCUACGGGAGGCAGCAGUGGGGAAUAUUGCACAAUGGGCGAAAGCCUGAUGCAGCAACGCCGCGUGAGGGAUGAAGGCCUUCGGGUUGUAAACCUCUUUUAGCAGGGAAGAAGCGAGAGUGACGGUACCUGCAGAAAAAGCACCGGCUAACUACGUGCCAGCCGCCGCCGUAA
rnacentral:rRNA from 1 species